AGAGUUUGAUCAUGGCUCAGGACGAACGCUGGCGGCGUGCCUAAUACAUGCAAGUCGAACGCUGAUUGUUUAACCGAUGCUUGCAUCAACCAAACAAUCGGAGUGGCGAACGGGUGAGUAACACGUGGGUAACCUGCCUAUCAGAGGGGGAUAACACUUGGAAACAGGUGCUAAUACCGCAUAAGAGCGAUAACCGCAUGGUUAUUGUUUAAAAGGCGCUUAUGGUGUCACUGAUAGAUGGACCCGCGGUGCAUUAGCUAGUCGGUGGGGUAAAGGCCUACCGAGGCGAUGAUGCAUAGCCGACCUGAGAGGGUGAUCGGCCACAUUGGGACUGAGACACGGCCCAAACUCCUACGGGAGGCAGCAGUGGGGAAUAUUGCACAAUGGGGGGAACCCUGAUGCAGCAACGCCGCGUGAAGGAAGAAGUAUUUCGGUAUGUAAACUUCUAUCGACAGGGAAGAAGAGAAUGACGGUACCUGAAUAAGAAGCACCGGCUAAAUACGUGCCAGCAGCCGCGGUAAUGCGUAUGGUGCAAGCGUUAUCCGGAUUUACUGGGUGUAAAGGGUGAGUAGGCGGUUAUGCAAGUCAUAUGUGAAAUUCUGGAGCUCAACUCCAGCGCUGCAUAAGAAACUGUGUAACUAGAGUACAGGAGAGGUAGGCGGAAUUCCUAGUGUAGCGGUGAAAUGCGUAGAUAUUAGGAAGAACACCGGUGGCGAAGGCGGCUUACUGGACUGAAACUGACGCUGAGUCACGAAAGCGUGGGGAGCGAACAGGAUUAGAUACCCUGGUAGU
rnacentral:rRNA from 1 species